AACGAACGCUGGCGGCAGGCCUAACACAUGCAAGUCGAGCUCCCCGCAAGGGGAGCGGCGGACGGGUGAGUAACGCGUGGGAACGUACCUUUUGCUUCGGAAUAGCCUCGGGAAACUGGGAGUAAUACCGAAUGUGCCCUACGGGGGAAAGAUUUAUCGGCAAAAGAUCGGCCCGCGUUGGAUUAGGUAGUUGGUGGGGUAAUGGCCUACCAAGCCGACGAUCCAUAGCUGGUUUGAGAGGAUGAUCAGCCACACUGGGACUGAGACACGGCCCAGAUUCCUACGGGAGGCAGCAGUGGGGAAUCUUAGACAAUGGGCGCAAGCCUGAUCUAGCCAUGCCGCGUGAGCGAUGAAGGCCUUAGGGUUGUAAAGCUCUUUCGUGGGGGAAGAUAAUGACUGUACCCCAAGAAGAAGCCCCGGCUAACUCCGUGCCAGCCGCCGCAGUAAAAC
rnacentral:rRNA from 1 species